GAUUGGAUAGUAUAGUGGUGAGUACAAUUCGUUGUGGCCUGUGGUAAUCCACCUAGUAAACACCGAAUAGACCCAGGUUCGAUUCCUGGUCCAGUCA